rnacentral:rRNA from 1 species
GGAAAGGCGCGCGAUACAGGGUGACAGCCCCGUACACAAAAAUGCACAUGCUGUGAGCUCGAUGAGUAGGGCGGGACACGUGGUAUCCUGUCUGAAUAUGGGGGGACCAUCCUCCAAGGCUAAAUACUCCUGACUGACCGAUAGUGAACCAGUACCGUGAGGGAAAGGCGAAAAGAACCCCGGCGAGGGGAGUGAAAAAGAACCUGAAACCGUGUACGUACAAGCAGUGGGAGCACGCUUAGGCGUGUGACUGCGUACCUUUUGUAUAAUGGGUCAGCGACUUAUAUUCUGUAGCAAGGUUAACCGAAUAGGGGAGCCGAAGGGAAACCGAGUCUUAACUGGGCGUUAAGUUGCAGGGUAUAGACCCGAAACCCGGUGAUCUAGCCAUGGGCAGGUUGAAGGUUGGGUAACACUAACUGGAGGACCGAACCGACUAAUGUUGAAAAAUUAGCGGAUGACUUGUGGCUGGGGGUGAAAGGCCAAUCAAACCGGGAGAUAGCUGGUUCUCCCCGAAAGCUAUUUAGGUAGCGCCUCGUGAAUUCAUCUCCGGGGGUAGAGCACUGUUUCGGCAAGGGGGUCAUCCCGACUUACCAACCCGAUGCAAACUGCGAAUACCGGAGAAUGUUAUCACGGGAGACACACGGCGGGUGCUAACGUCCGUCGUGAAGAGGGAAACAACCCAGACCGCCAGCUAAGGUCCCAAAGUCAUGGUUAAGUGGGAAACGAUGUGGGAAGGCCCAGACAGCCAGGAUGUUGGCUUAGAAGCAGCCAUCAUUUAAAGAAAGCGUAAUAGCUCACUGGUCGAGUCGGCCUGCGCGGAAGAUGUAACGGGGCUAAACCAUGCACCGAAGCUGCGGCAGCGACGCUGAUGCGUUGUUGGGUAGGGGAGCGUUCUGUAAGCCUGCGAAGGUGUGCUGUGAGGCAUGCUGGAGGUAUCAGAAGUGCGAAUGCUGACAUAAGUAACGAUAAAGCGGGUGAAAAGCCCGCUCGCCGGAAGACCAAGGGUUCCUGUCCAACGUUAAUCGGGGCAGGGUGAGUCGACCCCUAAGGCGAGGCCGAAAGGCGUAGUCGAUGGGAAACAGGUUAAUAUUCCUGUACUUGGUGUUACUGCGAAGGGGGGACGGAGAAGGCUAUGUUGGCCGGGCGACGGUUGUCCCGGUUUAAGCGUGUAGGCUGGUUUUCCAGGCAAAUCCGGAAAAUCAAGGCUGAGGCGUGAUGACGAGGCACUACGGUGCUGAAGCAACAAAUGCCCUGCUUCCAGGAAAAGCCUCUAAGCAUCAGGUAACAUCAAAUCGUACCCCAAACCGACACAGGUGGUCAGGUAGAGAAUACCAAGGCGCUUGAGAGAACUCGGGUGAAGGAACUAGGCAAAAUGGUGCCGUAACUUCGGGAGAAGGCACGCUGAUAUGUAGGUGAAGCGACUUGCUCGUGGAGCUGAAAUCAGUCGAAGAUACCAGCUGGCUGCAACUGUUUAUUAAAAACACAGCACUGUGCAAACACGAAAGUGGACGUAUACGGUGUGACGCCUGCCCGGUGCCGGAAGGUUAAUUGAUGGGGUCAGCGCAAGCGAAGCUCUUGAUCGAAGCCCCGGUAAACGGCGGCCGUAACUAUAACGGUCCUAAGGUAGCGAAAUUCCUUGUCGGGUAAGUUCCGACCUGCACGAAUGGCGUAAUGAUGGCCAGGCUGUCUCCACCCGAGACUCAGUGAAAUUGAACUCGCUGUGAAGAUGCAGUGUACCCGCGGCAAGACGGAAAGACCCCGUGAACCUUUACUAUAGCUUGACACUGAACAUUGAGCCUUGAUGUGUAGGAUAGGUGGGAGGCUUUGAAGUGUGGACGCCAGUCUGCAUGGAGCCGACCUUGAAAUACCACCCUUUAAUGUUUGAUGUUCUAACGUGGACCCGUGAUCCGGGUUGCGGACAGUGUCUGGUGGGUAGUUUGACUGGGGCGGUCUCCUCCUAAAGAGUAACGGAGGAGCACGAAGGUUGGCUAAUCCUGGUCGGACAUCAGGAGGUUAGUGCAAUGGCAUAAGCCAGCUUGACUGCGAGCGUGACGGCGCGAGCAGGUGCGAAAGCAGGUCAUAGUGAUCCGGUGGUUCUGAAUGGAAGGGCCA